AAGGUAGCAUAAUCAUUUGCCUCUUAAUUAGUGGYUAGUAUGAAUGGACAAACGAGAAUUCCCCUGUCUCUAUAAAGCCAAUGAAAAUUAAUCUUCAGGUGAAGAAGCCUGAAUCUCAUUAAAAGACAAAAAGACCCUAUUGAGCUUACAUUCAAUCUCUAAAAUAUUAAAAUAAAAUAAAACUACCCUUUUUACAAGAAUUUUGCUGGGGCGGCAAAGGAACAACCAAAAAUUCCUUUUCUCAAAGACUUAUAAGUCUAUUAACUGAUCCGUAUUAACGAUUAACAAAACUAGUUACCAUAGGGAUAACAGGCUAAUUUUUCUCUAAAGCUCACAUUAACAGAAAAGAUUGGCACCUCGAUGUUGGCUUAGGAUAUCCUAAGGGCGCAGAAGCCUUAA
rnacentral:rRNA from 1 species